rnacentral:rRNA from 1 species
AUUGAACGCUGGCGGCAUGCCUUACACAUGCAAGUCGAACGGCAGCGGGGGAGAAGUUUGCUUUUCCUGCCGGCGAGUGGCGAACGGGUGAGUAAUACAUCGGAACGUGCCCUGUAGUGGGGGAUAACUAGUCGAAAGAUUAGCUAAUACCGCAUACGACCUGAGGGUGAAAGUGGGGGACCGCAAGGCCUCAUGCUAUAGGAGCGGCCGAUGUCGGAUUAGCUAGUUGGGGGGGUAAAGGCCUACCAAGGCGAAGAUCAGUUGCUGGUUGGAGAGGACGAGCAGCCACACUGGGACGGAGAAACGGCCCAGACUCCAACGGGAGGCAGCAGUGGGGAAUUUUGGACAAUGGGCGAAAGCAUGAUCCAGCAAUGCCGCGUGUGUGAAGAAGGCCUUCGGGUUGUAAAGCACUUUUGUCCGGAAAGAAAUGGCUCUGGUUAAUACCUGGGGUCGAUGACGGUACCGGAAGAAUAAGGACCGGCUAACUACGUGCCAGCCGCCGCGGUAAAAC